rnacentral:rRNA from 1 species
GGACUACUAGGGUUUCUAAUCCCGUUCGAUUCCCACGCUUUCGUGUUUCAGCGUCAGGAGUGUGCCAGUAAGUUGCCUUCGCAUUUGGUGUUCCCCAAGAUAUCAACGGAUUUCACCCCUACACCUUGAGUUCCACUUACCUCUCACAUCCUCUAAGCAAUGCCCUCUCUCCCGCAUUUUCUGGGUUAAGCCCAAAAGCUUUUACGAAAGACUAACAUCGCCGCCUACACACCCUUUACGCCCAGUGAUUCCGGGUAACGCUUGAGGCCUCUGUAUUACCGCGGCUGCUGGCAC